UCCGGUUGAUCCUGCCAGAGGUCACUGCUAUCGGGGUUCGAUUAAGCCAUGCGAGUCGAGAGGGUUCGGCCCUCGGCGCACUGCUCAGUAACACGUGGACAACCUGCCCUGAGGUGGGGGAUAACUCCGGAAAACUGGAGAUAAUACCCCAUAGUCUAUGAAUGCUGGAAUGCUUUGUAGGCGAAAGGUCAGCCGCCUCAGGAUGGGUCUGCGGCCGAUUAGGUAGUUGUUGGGGUAACGGCCCAACAAGCCUGUGAUCGGUACGGGUUGUGGGAGCAAGAGCCCGGAGAUGGAUUCUGAGACACGAAUCCAGGCCCUACGGGGCGCAGCAGGCGCGAAAACUUUACAAUGCAGGAAACUGUGAUAAGGGAACCCCGAGUGCCUGUAUGGACAGGCUGUUCGGGUGCGUAAAAAACACCUGGAGAAAGGACCGGGCAAGACCGGUGCCAGCCGCCGCGGUAAUACCGGCGGUUCGAGUGGUGGCCACUAUUACUGGGCUUAAAGCGUCCCGUAGCUGGGCAGUUAAGUCUCUGGGGAAAUCUUCCGGCUCAACCGGAAGGCGUCUCAGGGAUACUGGCUGCCUUGGGAUCGGGAGAGGUGAGAGGUACUCUGGGGGUAGGAGUGAAAUCCUGUUAUCCUUAGGGGACCACCUGUGGCGAAGGCGUCUCACCAGAACGACUCCGACAGUGAGGGACGAAAGCUGGGGGAGCAAACCGGAUUAGAUACCCGGGUAGUCCCAGCCGUAAACUAUGCGCGUUAGGUGUGUCAGUGACCACGAGUUACUGAGGUGCCGAAGGGAAACCGUGAAACGCGCCGCCUGGGAAGUACGGUCGCAAGGCUGAAACUUAAAGGAAUUGGCGGGGGAGCACCACAACGGGUGGAGCCUGCGGUUUAAUUGGACUCAACGCCGGGCAGCUCACCGGGUAGGACAGCGAUAUGAUAGCCGGGCUGAAGACCUUGCUUGAUCAGCUGAGAGGAGGUGCAUGGCCGUCGUCAGUUCGUACUGUGAAGCAUCCUGUUAAGUCAGGUAACGAGCGAGAC
rnacentral:rRNA from 1 species